rnacentral:rRNA from 1 species
CCCUUAGAUGUUCUGAACCGCACGCGUGUUACACUGAUGCAUUCAACGAGCUUUACCUUGGCCGAGAGGCCUGGGAAAUCUUUUUAGCAUGCAUCGUGAUAGGGAUUGAUUAUUGCAAUUAUUAAUCAUGAACGAGGAAUUCCUAGUAAACGCAUUUCAUCAAAAUGCAUUGACUACGUCCCUGCCCUUUGUACACACCGCCCGUCGCACCUACCGAUUGAGUGGUCCGGUGAAGUCUCGAGAUUGUGGCAAUCUCCUUUAUUGGAGUUUGACUGCGAGAACUUGCCUAAACCUUAUCACUUAGAGGAAGGUGAAGUCGUAACA